AUACGGAGGGUGCGAGCGUUAAUCGGAAUUACUGGGCGUAAAGCGUACGUAGGCGGUUGGUUAAGUUAGAUGUGAAAGCCCCGGGCUUAACCUGGGAACUGCAUUUAAAACUGGCGAACUAGAGUCGAGUAGAGGGGAGUGGAAUUUCAGGUGUAGCGGUGAAAUGCGUAGAGAUCUGAAGGAACACCAGUGGCGAAGGCGACUCCCUGGACUCGAACUGACGCUGAGGUACGAAAGCGUGGGUAGCAAACGGGAUUAGAAACCCUAGUAGUCC
rnacentral:rRNA from 1 species